CCUCAGUUCACGCGAGUUCCAUACAACUCGUGCAAACAAACUUGGGAUUGAGAUUGGUUCCAUUUUGCUAUUGUUGGUGUCCCAGUUUCCUUUUUUUGGACGCCGUCAAGAGGCUUUUGCGAGAUCACGAUCCCAAACGGGUUUCCCCCUGAUAUUGCGCUCUUUCGCUUUGAAACUUUCAGGGUUGGUUAUCCGGGUCAGUGAGUUUUUAUAGAAUUUGGCUACGAAGGAUUUCCCGGGGAUGAAGUGCAUUUAAGCGGACAGAUAUAUAAAAAAUGAGGUUGCUGUUGUUGUUGGUACUGGUGGUGGUGGUGGUGGUGGUUGUUGGCAAGGGACAUAAGCAUUGAAAGCCUGCUCCUAAAGUGAUGAUUUAUAAACCGCGAAGUGACACCUCAUCAGCCGAAAAAGCACAUGAAUUAACUCGAAACGAGAAUACACGAUUAUCGUGGUGGAGCACUCUAAAUUUGGGUGGCUUUCAAAGUCUUUGUGGUGAAUCUUUUUUUUUUCUUGAGCAACCAUCCGAGACGAAGAGAUGCCUUAGAGGUCAGUCACUUUAGGUUUCUUUCUUCUGGUUUUCCGGACCGGUCGAGAUUUCAUGCGAGAUGGAGACCCGACGUCCAAAAAUUCCCGUUCCUAUUGUCCGCAGACUGGUGAAGUGCACUUUCACAAUUAGCAGGGAUUCCAUGAGAUCAUUCUACCUCUCGUGUAUACCUAUCAACCAAGCUAGUUCUCGCCCUCGCUCUGAAAUAAGGUAUUGGACAAGGAAAAAUAGUGUGGUGUACCCUUGAUCUGGGGCAAUCCGUGCAUCGUUCUUUUAAUACACCAUGGAGAUGCUUAUCGGGCCUGAAGAUGGGCUUAUGUAUCACUAUCUCCACGAGUAUGAAGAAGACUCGAGACAAUUCGCGCUCAUCCCAAGCCUCCAAUCAACCUGACAACGGAUCUCAAAGCUCAGUGCACUUUCCAAACUCACUCUCCAUCCAAAUCCUGGUCAUUCCCGGGGGCUGUCGGAAGUUUUCGGCCAGCCAAUGGCGACUCUCCACGAAAUUUCGGGGUUGAAUCAUGGCAUGUGAACAAACGACAGAAAAAGGUUCCACUCUCUGCUCGAGGUACCGCACCUCUUGAGCCUAUUUAGAUGGAUGAGAGCUCAUGUGGAAUCUACUUUUAAUCCUCUUGUAUGACAAUAAUCUUCUUCUUCGCCGUUCUUGGCGCGUAAUGGAUGCAUCUAUUCACCCUCGAGAGGAUUCGACAAAUCCCAAACGAGUCUCCUACACUACCAGUAUAGUGGAGUGGAGUGCAGUGUAGUCCGGUGAUCCGGUGAUUGCCACCCCCAACGACUACUACAGGAGACAAUGGGAAAUCAGUGCCAACACGUGUUUCCUCUAUGGCAAAUGAGGAUUAUUAACGAGACGUUUUAACAUAUUACCUACAACAUAUCAGGGUCAUAAAAAAAUGAUACCGCGCAAUCACUUGAGUGGUACUUGUCGAGUGGUCCUCGAGGACUUGGAGUCUGUUUUGGUACUUGUUGUGGAUCGAGAUCAAUGGAACAUCUGUGCAACCUUCGCAUUUGAGGCGUGCAGUUCAUGCUUUUAUGGAUCUCUCAUAGCUCUUAUCAAAGGAUCGAGAAAAGAUAUGAUAUCAAUAUUUGCCGAAGCUAUCGUCCCUCUUCCCGCACUACUGUUCAAUGAAACAAGACAUCUGCUAGGUGGAUGACGAUCGUGGUCGUGGUGGUACCAUGUAGAUGGACGAACGAAUGAAUAACUGGAUGUCGCCCUGACAGUUCUCAUCCCUUGGGUAAUUUCUUUGGUCUCAUAGAGGGAUGAGGAGCACGACGUCGAUCACAAAGGAAGUCGUGUCCGUAGGUAGACCUGCAAGUGGCCGUAAUUGCCCUCUGAAAUGUUGGGUACAAAACAGGGAGCCACAAAUCGUUCAUGACACAUGGAUUUCAAGAUGGAUCUCGAAUUCGUCUUGCCUUACUUGGUGCAAGCAUUUCGAAACAACAAUAGCAAGUACACAUUCCGAAAAAGACAAGUACAGCAGAAGUAGACCAACAACAUCUCAAAUGACAAAGGUUUUUUUCAAGGCAGAUGGCAAACAACAUCCAGCCGAGGGGGAGGGGGUUGUACGAAAAAGAAACCGAGGCCAAACGAGCAAAUAUGUCACCCAUGAGCAAAUGUGGAUAAACCCAGGGAUGCCGUGGAGAAAUGUUACCAUUUUUGAAUUGUGCUAAAUAGGACACUUUGUACGUGGGAGUACUUGUUUCCUAAUAAACGUACUUUCUGACUAUAAACUUUGUUUCGAAACGAUAUCUUCUUUAUUGUGCGGUAUCUAUUCAUUUCAGGGAUGUGACAAAGCUCGUACUGGUACAAACUAACAAUGGCAACACUUGCCGGUACAGGAAAAAAAAUGCCAAUUUUGACGGGUAUGACACUAAUGCCUAGCGAGAACAAAGUGACAAGUCAAGCGCGAAAAGAGGAACAGAAGAAAAUCGAAUUAACACAUAUUUGGCGGUAUCCAUUGCCUCUUUCGUUUCGUUUUGUCCUCACUCAUCAUGGUAUUUGACAGUUCCGUCAAAGCUUUAUCGCGUACAUGACCCAUCCUGGAUGAGAGAGCAAGUCGCUUCUUUUAAGUACUCACUCUGGUGAUUCCACACAUGAUGGCUUGCAUUUUUUGCCCAUACCCAACACUGAGGCUUACAGUUUCAAGAUAACAACAUCCGGCUUCUGAUAAAUCGACAACCUCGGCUUUUUUUCAUCGCGCAUAAGAAAUGGGAGACGCUGGACACGCCUCCACUUUUCAUUUGUCAACGAUCAGAUUAUUGUGACGAUUUAAUAACAGAAAAAAAACCUCCGAGGUUGAUUGAAUUCUCGUGAGAUAUCUGCUGAUUUCCAUUUGAAAUUUUAUGAAAGUCCAUUAAUACGAAUGGCGAUACUUUUUGAAUCUCCAAGAAAUUACAAUAUGAACAGUGAAGUGUUUUUAGUAAUUAGAAGCCACCAAGA